GACGAACGCUGGCGGCGUGCUUAACACAUGCAAGUCGAACGGAAAGGCCCUGCUUUUGUGGGGUGCUCGAGUGGCGAACGGGUGAGUAACACGUGAGUAACCUGCCCUUGACUUUGGGAUAACUUCAGGAAACUGGGGCUAAAUACCGGAUAGGAGCUCCUGCUGCAUGGUGGGGGUUGGAAAGUUUCGGCGGUUGGGGAUGGACUCGCGGCUUAUCAGCUUGUUGGUGGGGUAGUGGCUUACCAAGGCUUUGACGGGUAGCCGGCCUGAGAGGGUGACCGGCCACAUUGGGACUGAGAUACGGCCCAGACUCCUACGGGAGGCAGCAGUGGGGAAUAUUGCACAAUGGGCGGAAGCCUGAUGCAGCAACGCCGCGUGCGGGAUGACGGCCUUCGGGUUGUAAACCGCUUUCGCCUGUGACGAAGCGUGAGUGACGGUAAUGGGUAAAGAAGCACCGGCUAACUACGUG
rnacentral:rRNA from 1 species